rnacentral:rRNA from 1 species
GCACCAAAUACAAAUCCGAAGUCGUGUUAUAGAUUAGCGCGGUCCUAAGAGAGGUGAACAGGCCACAUUGGACUGAGAAACCGGGCCCAAACUCUACCGGAGGCAGGCAGUUGGGGAAUAUUGGCAACAAUGGGGAACUGAAUGCAGCGACGCCCGCGUGAGUGAAAGAAGCAUUUCGGUGCGGUAAAGCUCUGUCAGCAGGAAAGAAAAGUGACGGUACCUGACCAAGAAGCCCCGGCUAACUACGUGCCAGCAGCCGCGGUAAUACGUAGGGGGCAAGCGUUAUCCGGAUUUACUGGGUGUAAAGGGAGCGUAGACGGCGUGGCAAGUCUGAAGUGAAAGGCGGGGGCCCAACCCCCGGACUGCUUUGGAAACUGUCAUGCUUGAGUGCGGGAGGGGCAAGCGGAAUUCCUAGUGUAGCGGUGAAAUGCGUAGAUAUUAGGAGGAACACCGGUGGCGAAGGCGGCUUGCUGGACCGUAACUGACGUUGAGGCUCGAAGGCGUGGGGAGCAAACAGGAUUAGAUACCCUGGUAGUCCACGCGGUAAACGAUGAUCACUAGGUGUCCGGGGACACGGUCUCCGGGUGCCGCAGCCAACGCAGUAAGUGAUCCACCUGGGGAGUACGUUCGCAAGAAUGAAACUCAAAGGAAUUGACGGGGACCCGCACAAGCGGUGGAGCAUGUGGUUUAAUUCGAAGCAACGCGAAGAACCUUACCCGGCCUUGACAUCCCCCUGAAUUACGGGCAACGCCGUAAGCCCUUCGGGGCAGGGGAGACAGGUGGUGCAUGGUUGUCGUCAGCUCGUGUCGUGAGAUGUUGGUUAAGUCCCGCAACGAGCGCAACCCUUACGUUUAGUAGCCAGCGGCUAGGCCGGGCACUCUAGACGGACUGCCGGGGACAACCCGGAGGAAGGCGGGGAUGACGUCAAAUCAUCAUGCCCCUUAUGGCCGGGGCUACACACGUGCUACAAUGGCGUAAACAAAGGGAGGCGAGGGAGCGAUCCGGAGCGAAUCCCAAAAAUAACGUCCCAGUUCGGAUCGCAGUCUGCAACUCGACUGCGUGAAGCUGGAAUCGCUAGUAAUCGCGAAUCAGAACGUCGCGGUGAAUGCGUUCCCGGGUCUUGUACACACCGCCCGUCACACCAUGGGAGUCGGAAACGCCCGAAGUCGGUGACCCAACCUUUAAGGAGGGAGCCGCCGAAGGCAGGUCCGAUAACUGGGGUGAAGUCGUAACAAGGUAAAUCACUGCCCGUCGAAAGCCC